GUAGGGAAUAUUGGGCAAUGGUCGGAAGACUGACCCAGCCAUGCCGCGUGCAGGAAGACGGCCCUCUGGGUUGUAAACUGCUUUUAUCUGGGAAGAAAAAGGCCAUGCGUGGCAAAUUGCCGGUACCAGAUGAAUAAGCACCGGCUAACUCCGUGCCAGCAGCCGCGGUAAUACGGAGGGUGCGAGCGUUGUCCGGAUUUAUUGGGUUUAAAGGGUGCGUAGGCGGCUGAUUAAGUCAGCGGUGAAAGACUUCGGCUUAACCGGAGCAGUGCCGUUGAUACUGGUUGGCUGGAGUGUCGGAGGGGUACAUGGAAUUGAUGGUGUAGCGGUGAAAUGCAUAGAUACCAUCAGGAACACCGAUAGCGAAGGCAUUGUACUGGCCGACAACUGACGCUGAUGCACGAAAGUGUGGGGAUCGAACAGGAUUAGAAACCCGAGUAGUCC
rnacentral:rRNA from 1 species